rnacentral:misc_RNA from 1 species
UACAGAGGGUGCAAGCGUUGUCCGGAAUUAUUGGGCGUAAAGGGCUCGUAGGCGGUUUGUCGCGUCGGGAGUGAAAACUCAGGGCUUAACCCUGAGCCUGCUUCCGAUACGGGCAGACUAGAGGUAUGCAGGGGAGAACGGAAUUCCUGGUGUAGCGGUGAAAUGCGCAGAUAUCAGGAGGAACACCGGUGGCGAAGGCGGUUCUCUGGGCAUUACCUGACGCUGAGGCUCGAAAGCGUGGGGAGCAAACAGG